rnacentral:lncRNA from 1 species
GUAUGUAUAUAUAUGUAUGCUCACUAACUCCAUUCACUGCAUUGGCCUCUGUCAUCUGGUGCACUUUCCUCUCUUUUCUUUCUCCCUCUUAAUUUUUUUGGUUUUCUUUGAUUCCUCUUUUCUUGGUCUUGUUGGCUUGGGACUGUUGAGCUACAUAAGUACUGCAAGAAGGAACCAACGCCUCACUUUAGUUCGAGAUACAUACAAGAAUCUGUAGAGAACAGAGGAAGAAAUCUUGGUUAUAUAUCUUCCAAAUGAAUGCAAAUUAACCCGGAAGUUAAAAGUGAUGUGCUCUAGUUUGUUGUACACUUCAAGUAAUGUGAAAGUUUGAGCACAAAACCUGUCAUGGAGAAGAAUGAAAUGCUCGAGAUGUGCUCAAGUCCCACAAAUAUUUCCCUCGGCUUGAAAAUAUGUCCUUUUUCUAUGCUUGAUUCCUUUUCUUUCUUUUUUGCCGUUCUCACAG